rnacentral:misc_RNA from 1 species
AAGUCGUAACAAGGUAUCCGUAGGUGAACCUGCGGAUGGAUCAUUAACACAAACCCAAAAAAACGGCUUUACGAGGAGGGAUCCUUUGCGUUCCUUUUUCGUAUUGCUUUUUAAACCCAAACAUUGCGAACUCGUCAACGGUGGAGUUGGGCAUGGGCUGCGUGCUCUCCUUCUCUAUCCGUUCGUUUUUAAUCUCUAUAUCAAUUGUAUUCUUUUAACACCAACAACACUCCCUCUUUUUUUGCGGGGUGUGUUGUUACUCGAAAAACAAUCUGACUGAGAAAACUUAACUUGGCUGUCUUUUGUUGAAAAGCACUGGAUGUCCAAGUCUAAAAAACACAAACAAAAAAUACAACUCUUAACAACGGAUAUCUCGGCUCUCGUAACGAUGAAAAACGCAGC